GUUGAACGCUGGCGGCAGGCCUAACACAUGCAAGUCGAACGAGUGGCGGACGGGUGAGUAAUGUAUGGGAAACUGCCCGAUGGAGGGGGAUAACUACUGGAAACGGUAGCUAAUACCGCAUACCAUCGGAUGUGCCCAGAUGGGAUUAGCUAGUAGGUGGGGUAACGGCUCACCUAGGCGACGAUCCCUAGCUGGUUUGAGAGGAUGACCAGCCACACUGGAAUUGAGACACGGUCCAGACUCCUACGGGAGGCAGCAGUGGGGAAUAUUGCACAAUGGGCGAAAGCCUGAUGCAGCCAUGCCGCGUGUAUGAAGAAGGCCUUCGGGUUGUAAAGUACUUUCAGAGAGGAGGCGUUACUCGCAGAAGAAGCACCGGCUAACUCCGUGCCAGCAGCCGCGGUAAUAC
rnacentral:rRNA from 1 species